UCUCCCCCUCUCGUGACGGAUGCUGGCAUACCUCUGUCCGGUUCUCCUCUCUUCACCAGAUGGACGGUAACUUUAGUGUUUAUUGAACACCGGGUAAAUAUCACUAGUCAGAACCUCAACCUCAGUUUAAAUCAUCCUUCAUAUGUAUAAACAAUCCUAUGCGUUUAGUAAAUUUACCUCAACAUUCACCCGGAGAAGAGAGUAACGACAACCAGCCUUUUAGCGGGGCUGACAGACUGACUACAACGCUCGCGGCGUAAAUUAAUUUCGUUUUAAAAUGACCCCUGCUCGCGCAUUAACUAACGUCUGGAAGUCGUCUCUAUUGUGAACUCUUCUUCUGUUCCCAUUUCCCAUUUUCCCAUUAUUGUUGUUGUUUUCAUAAUCCAUAGGCUCAUCAUUUGUUCCUUUCCAUGUCCUAAAACAAUAUUAAACAAAACACAACAUUCCCUGUGUGUGUGUGUGUGUGUGUUUGUGUGGUGGUGUGUGUGCUGUGUGUAGAAACUCCCUGGAUGAGGAGAUGUAAUCUCUAUUCUGAUUUCCUCGUCCCUUAUACCCCUAACGACAUGUACAUAUUAUUCCUAUAGCUGAUUAUUACGUCAAUACCUGUUACCCUGCACAUUUGACUCAGUCCUGGUUUCUCCUUAUAGUCUCCUAUUACCUACUACUGUACCUGUCCACAUUGACUCACGUACUGGUUCUUCCUUAUGUUCUCAUUAUUACCUCAACUACCUGUAACCUGCACAUGACUCACAGUACUGGUUUUCCUGGUACCCUGCACAUUUUCUC
rnacentral:lncRNA from 1 species